AUUCAAUUCUAUCAAGAGUCGUAAGAAAAAAUUUGGGUCAUGAUCUUGCAACAUGACACUUUUCACUGGCAAAAUGGAAAAAGCUUUCAAACAUUCAAGUUUGGAUGAGUGUCUUCCUAGACCCAGAUAACCUAGAACGGAGCUCCCUCACAGAUUUAUCUUCGCGUCUCAGAGCCAUUGUUUACGUCUCGGACGGGGUUCGUAAAUUCCCGUUUUAAAGUGCCCUGGAAACUGUCUGCACCCACAAUUUCGACGCUCGUAUCUCUGUUCUUUAAGAUAAUGCUCGCUUGCUUUUCUUCUACAGUAGUCUUUGAUAGGGAAAACACCUUUGUCUCUGUGGAUGAAUUUGCUUACAAGAGCAAGGUGUAUAGAAUGUUUUCAAGGGGUUUGAUAAUUUUUACUAAUUUCACGCAAUCAGAAAUUGGAAUUUCAAGCAGUAUAUAAAUAACAAAGUUAUCUCUGGAAUACGGUGGACCGACUUUAUAAACUUUGAUGCUAGGAGGUCAAGAAUGACCACCCCUAUUUCAAAAAUUGGACAAGAAACUUCGCCAUCGCAGCUGCAACGAUCAAAGUUACCACACCAUAUCUGUAAAAACUUUGAUUAAUUUCACCCGGAAGCAACAUUUCAUCUAAGUAUUAGAGUGUAGAUUUUAUACGAAAUAGCUCCUGGAUAAACUACGGGAGCAAUUUUUAUCAAAAACUUUAAUUAACUUGUGUCACAUGAAGAUCAGCCCCCUCGAAAGUUCAAUUUCACGAGGAGAAAUUUCUAACUAAACUCUUCUCUAUAUUUCAAAAGAACGAAUAUAAAAAAAAACUGCAUUUUAUCCUAAUUAUAGAAAGGAUUCGUACUUAAACCCUUCGCUCUUCGAAGGAAGCAAAGAUCACUAUCUCAACUCUUUCUCCUGAAAAAAGAACAAAGAAGAAGAAGAAGAACGAGCUCAUUUUCUCGUUUCCAUUGCACCAGGAACCAUCGUCGAGGGGUCUGAAUUUCAGAACGCAGCUGGUCGAACCAGGAAUCGGCCAUGUUUGGGCGAAGAGGGAAAGAAAGGGAUAGAAAGCCGAUCGAAGGAAAGGAAGUAGGGUUCUCCGUCGAUCCGAGUAUCACGAUUCAACGAGGCUCGAUGCUCUUCCCUGUGGAAGGGAUGACGGGUCUAGAAUGUCGAACCGUUUUGGAGGUAGGGUGCUUCGAAAACCACCCCCUCCGGCUACCGAGAAUAAUCCAGAGUAUAAAUUGGAUUGUCGGUGGAACGUGGAAACUGAACGUGGCAGAAGGGGAUCGAAUGGUGCUUGCAAAUAGAGAAGAGAAAGGUAACACUGUGAACUGGAGCGCACACGGAUAUAGUCGACACCUUUCAACACAUGGAAAUCAGGCUUCAUGAACGUACCACGUGGAUACGUGCCAAAGGGGAACCUCCAUCCUUCGUGAUUUUCGCUGCUGGCUCGUCGCGACGAUUGCCAGGGAGGAAACUAACGUCGAAUUAUGCUCGCGUGCCUGCUCGCUCGAUUACGCUCGUGUUAUCGCGCUACCUUUUGCUAUCUAACUAAUUUCACGUCCACCGAUUUCUCUACUCGCAUCGUCGCUUUAAAGUAUCCACGUUGAUUGCAAAAUUCCAAAUAUUUUCCAGCCUUCAAUUUGAUUUCAAAGUCGACCAUAUAUGUGAACUUGAAGUGUUUUAGUUAAUAUUUAUAAAUGUUACAGAAAUUUUCAAGAGAUUCCGUGAUAAGUUAUUGACAAUUGUAGCCCUGGCUACAGAAAGAGGAUAACACCAAGAUGAAAGCAAGUGGAAGGAAAAUGAAGGAAACAGAGAACUCGUCGCGAAAAUGGAAGGGGUUAAUCUCCGACGAUGAUCUGUUUGGUCUUGAUCCGACAUGCAAUUUAGAAGGUUCCAAGCCGUGACCGCUACAUCUCGUUACUGCAAAGUAAACUCUGAUAAAUUGUUCGGGGGAGUUGUUUACAAGGUGCUCGCCAGAUUCCCAGUUUCUUCUCAUCACGGCACGUCACGUCGCGCAGAAAUAUAAGGUCUGACAAUUUCGCCAAGCAGUUCGACGUUAAAACUGAAGCCUUGUACCCUACGAAAGUCAAGAGGAACGACGAUACUUCUUCCCUCCAGCAAGCUUAAUUUUCUCUCCGCGUCGACGUGUUCCACGUUCGCUUAUUUCCAGUGCGACCGUUCGGUCGCACCUGCACCUGCGGCGAAAAAUCGUCGACGAAGGGCCAGAGGAAGGGUGGAGGGACGAUUCCCAUGGAAGACGUAGGUGGAGUCGAGUAGAUUAUCUCGCCAGACAGCGAAAUGGCAAAGUUCUCGGUCGAAGGUGUGUGUCGACGGGCGAAAACGAAGACGAACGAAACGAACCAUUGAAAGAGGGAGCGAGACGAGGUUACGUAGAGGGUGAAAGAGGAGGAAGAGAAAGCUUUUUAGGCUUUUCCUCGGAACAGUGCAGACGCAGCUGUGUGGAAACUGCAAUGACACGCCCCUCGCCUCAAUCCCUCCUCUCCGUACCGUCAUCUUCCUCGUCUUCCACCCUCGAGCUGGUCAGGGGGUAGGUUCUCCGCGAGCUUGGGCUACCGAGCCAGCAGGGUCGAUUCGAACCCUCACCAGCAGUUCUACCCAGUGGUGGGGAAUGAAACAUACACAGGAAUCUCUUUGUGUGCGUUCGACGUCGAUGUUGCUCUGCAUGGUGUGCAGUUGUUCCUCCGGGUCAGACUGGUCUGCUUUCGAACGCCCGCGAGCUGUAUGGAGUGUUGAGAAAGUAUACACCCACGACGAAUCAUGGGUCAAACUUUGCGUUUAACCUUUGCCUUUUAACAUUUAAUACACGUUUACUAUACAUCCUUUCAACUCAAUGAUAUCUGGAUUUCUUGAAGGGAUUUCUUCCCUUCCGAGUCUGUAACAGUGUGGGUCUGAUAUAAAUCCUUAUAAUUGAGAUAGAAGCAGAGAAUCAACUCCGUAAACCAUGAUCAUUGUUUUCACGACACCCUGUGCAAGCUCACGCUUCGAGUUUGUUCGUAUCGGUGAAGCUACAUCUCCGUGGUGACGGUGGAUGCUGGGCUGUGAUGGUGGUUGGCUUGAACGUGUCCUCUUUGCCCCUCUGUCCCGGUUGCUCCGCAGCAACACGCACAGAUCGAUACGCGGCUGCUAGGUACACCUAUUCCAGGAUUCUAGCCGGGUGCGAGAGUGGUCUGGCUGCAGGAUGGAGGAUUUUCAAGCCGGGCGAUUCCUGCAAUCGCGCCUCUUCCUUCGAUUGCGAGAGCCGACCAGCCGAUACGCUGAAGAAAGGCGAUCAUUUGGAAAGGCCAGCUGCCGCGCGACGAAAUUACAUCGGCGAAUUUCGCGCGGAAACGCUUGCCCACUAUCGCUGGAAACGUUCCAGCUUCCUUUCGGAUAUUCGUUUUUCUUCUUUCUUUCUCCACUCGUCGCGUCGAUGUUUAUUGGGCCAUCCAGUUGCAGUGCAUUUGAAAUGGUAUUGAGUCUGAUAAAGAAGAAUCUUUAUUGGGUUAUUUAAUUUCAAUGUUCAUGAAGUCUUCUGUCAGGUACAACUCUUGAAGUUGAUACACUUGUUCGUAUGUUCAUUCUCAGUUAAUAAACGGAUCGCUAAUUAUGCCAACGUACCAUAAUUAUGAUAAUAUGACGUUCAUCAGACCGAUUCGCGAUGUUCUCAGCAACAAUAAUUAACCGAAUAUACAACGUUAUCAUACUCCACUUUUAUGUUCGGUACCGAAACAUGUCCACGACGAAGUUGAACAGCCGUUCAAUUAAAUCGCGCGACACCGAUCGUCAGAUCUCUUCAAGAUUUUUUAUGGCUCGCGUAAAAACGAUCGAACCACUGUGCAAGCAAUUCGCUAAUCUAACCGGUGGUCAACAGAAAGAAACCACGAUAAUCAUGCUCCAUUUGCGAGACAUCGGCGACACAGCUUAUCUGUACACCGAAAAAUGGCCAAGCGUCUUCGUUAAGCACGAUCGGCUUGGUCAGAUAAGCUCUUCCUUUUUAUGACUCGGCCGUGUUCGCGCGAUCAGCCAUCGAAUCGACCAGCUCCUCCUACCUUUAGGGUCUCCUCCGCCCUUCAUCCUGUUCCGCUGUCGGCGAACUGAAAGUCGGAAGAACGUAUUCGCUUCCACAGGAAGCGAUGUUUUUUUUUUUUUUGUCUUAUUCCAUAGUCCAUCAAAUUCCAUUUUCCAAAUAACUAAUGGAGAAAUAGAAUAUCUACUCAAACAUCCAACUAUUUUCUAUUGAUUUCAUUACAGCAUUCCUAUAAAAGACUUCGUAAGGCGGCAACAUUUCAAACGUGUCGCGUUAACGAGGCAGAAAGUCGGCUUCUCCAUCGCGAGAGUAAAUAAAGCAAGUAAAUAAAGAAGGAUUUUUAUUCACGGCAAAUUGCAGGCUAUCCCGAUAAAUGUACGGUCCAUUUCGAAAGCAGCUACGGGUAAAAAGGAAUCAUGUCAAAGAAAGAAAGAAGACAGAGAAAAAAGGAAGGAACAGUGGAAUCUGCGUUUAAUCCAUGACCAGAUAACGGUCUCGAUUGGAUCCUACUUUCCAAUCGUGCCACUCUUAACGAGCAACUAUUUUUCGAUCGCUAAUGAUUUUCGAACAUAAUAAAUGUGUUACUAUUCCCCCGAAGAUAAUUAUAAUAAUGGGAAGAACAAAGUCGAAUCAGUGUUCCUUGGAAAAUAUGUAAUUUUUUGUGAACAAGGUUGAUUUUGAAGGUAAUCAUACAUUUGAUUGCACACCUCUGACUAUAUAAUCCCAAAGAAACUGAAUUCGCCGGUAAGCUAAAUCUAACUUAUCUACCUCCAUAAGAAAUGAACGACAAAAAUGUUAAAUCGAGCUGCAGCUAUCUAACGAUUACCCUGAGGAGGAAUUCUUUUAUUUUUCAUUUUAGAGCAGAUGUGUUAGCCACCCCGACACACAAUUUCUGCCGGUCGAGACAGAAACGAGGAGCAACGGUGCACGUGGGCGGUAUCAUUGGUCCGCGAGCGAAUAAAUGAAUUAGUAAAUAACGAAUUUUAUCCCGCGGCAUUGGCCAGGAAUCCGAUAAGCUGGCAACCUGGCAUGGUGAUUUCCAGGUGGUAGGGGAUAUCUGGCGUAUAAAAAGCACGCGUUAUGCCUACCUGUCCGUCCAAUGGGGUAGCUUCAGUUCCGCCGAGCAAAGGGGGGAACCGUUUUUCGAAUGAACGAAGAAGCAGAAGAGGAAAAAAAAUGAAGAAGAAGAAGAAGAAGAGAAACAUCGAAUCGAUGCGGUUUCUUACGGGGAACGGGUUCGAGAGCGUUGGCGAAACGCGGUGUCCGCUGGGAAAAGAAAACGAAGAGGACCGACGCGAGUAGAAGACGAUACGAAGAGAGAAGGGAUGAAAAGUGCGAGAGAACGCAACCGUGUCUGAUAACUUUAGAACCCUCCCGGGUCUUUAUUGAUACUUGGACGUUUCCACUUGUCCCAUAUACAUACCGGUGCGCCCUGCGGAUACGCUUCGACCCUCGAGCGCACGCCACGGAAUGUCCAGGAUUACGUGAACCAACAGCCUCCUGAUCUUUUCCCUUUUAUUUCUUAUUUCCUAGCCCUCGUGUCGAUUGCUUCUUAUUGUAUCCGCCAUGCUUCGAUUUUUUACCUUCGUUGAUCUUGUAUCAGCAAACUGAACACCAUUUUGUUGUGAACUUUGUUGAUCCAUCUAGGUAGACACACCAUUUUAAGUGGAUAAGAUGCGCGAUCGGUGACGAGGUUCAAUGUACCUGUCAAAGCUCAUGAAAUGUCGACCCAAUUUCCCGUCCGGAACGAAAGGACCGACGAAAAAUUCGGUUUACGAUUAUUAUGCGUUGCGGCGGUGAUCUUGAUAUAAAUAGAGCGGCCGCGUGGCUGAUGGACGCCUCUCUAAAUCAUGCUAUUCCGCGCGAGAAAGCUCGUCUUCCUCGCGUGUUAUCAUGAUUCAAUGCUCUCGUGACCAGCUUCUCUGGUGAAACCUUUACUAGACUUAUGGCUACUCUAAGUACUCAUUAAAUGUUUAAAAAUUUUCCAUAAUCAUUAUUUAUAUUUCUACGUGCCAAUAAAAAAUUUAAUUUAAGAAUUUUUAUUACUAUUAACAAAAUUAUGUUAUUUAGUAGAAUACAUCUGCAUCAAUUUGUUUAAUCCUCUUAAA